CAUCCUCCGACACACACAGUAUCCUGCGCGCUCUGCUGUGAAUGUAGCAGCCAGAGUGAGCAUUAAACGUGAUCGUAGCGAGCUAUUUAGUAAAUUUUUAUUCCAUCUGUUGCAAGUUGUCAUAUCUGAUGGUGAUGGAGAGUACUUGGACAGGUAGUUGCCAGCAGCAUUCAGUUCAGUCCAACCAAAGGUAUUCCAUACCAUUGCAGGUACUCCAUACCAGUGAUUUCCAAUGUUCCUGCUUGGUCAUGUUUUAGUGAAUUCUUCUGACAGACAGAACUGCAAAGCAAAAAUGCAGUUGAAACAACUGUUAAGAAACCAAAACACAGAACUUGGACCAAAAUAUAAGAAUCUCAAGGAAUAACAAGGAUGAACUUUUGAUAUGUAUUUUGUUGGCAUCUUGAAGCUCUUGAAAACCCUAGCAGAAGAACAGAAUAACGGAUAUUAAUUUUGUGCAUAAAACGAUUUGCAGUGUUUUGAUUUCAAUUGUUAUUCUGUGCAUAAAAUAUGGAAUUAACUAAUUCUCAUUGGGAUAAACAGGUUGAAAAUGAACUGUCAGGAAUAGUGGCCAUCUGUGAUUGCCUUGGCCACUUUUUCCAAUGUGUAUCCUGGGCAGUUUUCCUGAUUGAACACCAUAUCUGUACCAGUGAUUCACAUGGUAAAUAGUGCAACCAAAGAAAACAAUAGUGUCUUAUAUUUGUAAGACAAAAGGCAUUAUGUAAACUGUGAAAUUGCAAAAACAUAUUGCUCUAUAUAGAAGUGAA